GAACCUGCGGAAGGAUCAUUACUGAAGACCCAGAGUCUUGAGACUACGUUCGCGUGUGCUCGACUCUUACUCUUUAUCCACACACACCUUUGUGCACCAUGGGAGACCGUAAGUGUCUCCCCUUUUUUACAUACACACCAAGUUAUAUGCAUGUCUUAUAUAUACUCUACGGAGUUGAUAAAUGUAACAACUUUCAACAACGGAUCUCUUGGCUUUCGCAUCGAUGAAGAACGCAGCGAACGUGCGAAACGUAAUGUGAAUUGCAGAAUUCAGUGAAUCAUCGAAUCUUUGAACGCAUCUUGCGCUCCUUGGUAUUCCGAGGAGCAUGCCUGUUUGAGUGUCGUGAAUACUCUCAAUUUCAAUCUUUUUGUUUGAAAUUGGAUUUGGAUGUUGUUGUUGAUCAUCUCAACGACUCGUCCUAAAUACAUUAGCGAUCUGCCUUGAUCACACACAAUGUGAUAAAUACAAAAGCAUUGUUACAAUCAAGUCAAGACUGCUUCUAACCGUCUUCAAAGACAAAGCGUAUAGCAAUAUAUGCAUGUCAUUGACCUCAAAUCAGGUAGGACUACCCGCUGAACUUAAGCA
rnacentral:rRNA from 1 species